AGAUCAUGGUGUGGGAAGUUCCUUAGGAAGCCUUUAUAUCUCUCCCAUGCCUCAUAAAGUGACUCUCCAGCUUGUUGCUCAAAAUUUGCUAUGACUUUCUUCAAUUU